CCAGUAAGUUUAUAUGAUAAAUUAUGUUACUACCCUCUCUCUCGCUUAUAUGAUAAUCAUCAAACCAAAUUAAACAGCAAAUUUAACUCAUUUCAAUUUUGUUUUGUUUAUGCCUGAAAAGGAGCAUAUUGUGUUAACUAAUUUUGAUAAUGAAGGAUCAUCAUUGUAGCAUCUGGUCUACAUAUCCUCAAGCCCUUUGGGGCUAAAGUUAGGUACAUCUUUCCUAAUCAGGUUUAGGUACAUCUUUCCUAAUCAGGUUUAGGUACAUCUUUCCUAAUCAGGUUUAGGUACAUCUUUC
rnacentral:lncRNA from 1 species